rnacentral:misc_RNA from 1 species
CAGCUUUAUGUGUCACUUAAGGCUCAUGGGGAGGGAAAUUUGGGCACACAGGCCUUGAUUUUAUCUCUGGAACGGCUGAAUAAUGUUUCACUUGAAUCUGUCGCCGCCGGUGGUGGCGGUGGUGGUUCUUCUUGACUUUGCCACCGUCUCUGCCGCCCGUUUAGGUGCGAAGGCCAUGAUUCUAAGCAAUUUAGUUACGCUAGUG